GCCCCCCGGCCCGGGAUAGCCCAGGGAAACCUGGAUUAAUACCGGAUGAGACGGGACCCGCGAUGGCGGGAUCCGGGAAAGGCGGCUGCGGCGCCGCCGGGGGAUGAGUCUGCGUCCCAUUAGCUAGACGGCGGGGUAACGGCCCACCGUGGCGACGAUGGGUAGCCGGCCUGAGAGGGUGGACGGCCACAUUGGAACUGAGACACGGUCCAGACUCCUACGGGAGGCAGCAGCUAAGAAUCUUCCGCAAUGGGCGAAAGCCUGACGGAGCGAACCGCCGCGUGAACGAAGAAGGCCGUGAGGUUGUAAAGUUCUUUUCGGGAGGGGGAACAACCGUGGCAGGGAAUGGCCGCGGGAUGACGUGAAUCCCGGAAUAAGCCCCGGCUAACUACGUGCCAGCCGCCGC
rnacentral:rRNA from 1 species